ACAGGCAUCCUGCCUCGGUCCCACAAUAAUGUUAGGGGCAGGGGUAACCUAAAAAUGCCCCCUGCCGCAGAUGUCCACAUCCUAAUUUCCAGAACCUGUAGGUUUUACACAGCAAAAGAAACUUUGUGGGUGUGAUGACAUUAAGGAUUUUGAGACAGGGAAAUUAUCCCGGGUUAUCUGGGUGGGCCCCAAAUAAUUGUGAAGCCCAUUAGAAGCGGGAAGCCAGAGGGGAAGAGUUGGAGAAGAUGUGCUGAUGGAAACAGAGUUCAGGGUUGGAGAGAGGUUUCAAGAUGUUAAUCUGCUGGCUUUGAAGAUGGAAGAAGAGACCACAAGCAAAGGAAUGUGGACAGCUCGGAGAAGCCGGGAAAAGCUGGCACGGCUUCUCCCUGAUUGUCUCCAGGAACGACCAGAACUGCCAGCACCUUGACUUCAGCCCAGUGAGAUGGAUUUUGGACUUCUGACAACCAGAAUUGUAAGCUGAUUUUCUCACCAUUCUGCGACAGAAUAUGAGACAAGCACCGCCAUGAAAGAGAUAAAAGUUUCCAAGAACAGCCUAGUGCUCUUUGAGCAGUGCUCCUGCUUCAGCCAGUAGAAGUGAAUUAGUAAGAAAAUUGGCCUGUGACUACAGUUUUUAUUUCUGGAAAAUCAGUGUCUUCCACAUCCUAUUAAAUUCAAGGCCAGCCCCUGGUUCCCAUUUCUAGAGAACUGCCUCACCUACUGGAAAAGAUUUAAGCAUCAGAGUCUGCUGACACAGGAAAAGGAGGCAGAAGGAAAGGCUGGCUAUACUCAGAGAACUUCAGGAGGACCUUGGCACACACCAAACUCUACAGGAAACUGCAGCUUGAAGGCCCAUGGCUCUACUGUCACUGACAGUCCCACAUGGAUGGCGCAGCCCUAGAUGGCAGUCAAGGAAGCCAAGGUUAGGAGAAAUUGAGCCACCCUCACCAUGACUUAAUAUGUAAAGCAAAGAAUGAAACCAAUCCACUCUCCUUCAGAUCAUGGUGAAAUUUGGUAAUUAAACUUAAUUUAUCUAAAUAAUUCAACCUCUAGAGCCCCACCAUCUCCUUUUGACUUUAAAAGAUAAAACAACAAAGAUUCAUUUAAAGUUAUGAGUAUGCUUUCCCAGUUCCUCUCUUGUCACUUCCUGUUUCCACGUUC